ensembl:snRNA U6 U6 spliceosomal RNA
GUGCUCGCUGCAGCAGCACAUAUACUAAAAUUGGAAAGAUGCAGAGAUUAGCAGGGCCCCUGUGCUAGGAUGAUACGCAAAUUUGAGAAAUGUUCCAUGUAAAA